rnacentral:piRNA from 2 species
UGAGUCAGAGCCAGGUAGAAGACAGC